UACGUAGGGCGCGAGCGUUGUCCGGAUUUAUUGGGCGUAAAGAGCUCGUAGGCGGUUUGUCGCGUCGUCCGUGAAAACUCACAGCUUAACUGUGAGCUUGCGGUCGAUACGGGCAGGCUAGAGUUCGGUAGGGGAGACUGGAAUUCCUGGUGUAGCGGUGAAAUGCGCAGAUAUCAGGAGGAACACCGGUGGCGAAGGCGGAUCUCUGGGCCAUUAUUGACGCUGAGGAGCGAAAGC
rnacentral:rRNA from 1 species